UAUCGUAAACUUUCCGGCUGUGACGAAGCCUUUGACUACUGGGGAAAGGGAACCGCGGUGACUGUAACAUCAGCUGAACCAUCUCCGCCGAAGUCAAUCUUCGGCCUGUCUCAGUGUUCUUCUGAUUCUGAGUUCCUCACCAUCGGCUGCGUGUCAAGAGGUUUCUCCCCCGCGGACUUUCUUACUUUCAAAUGGACGGAUCCCGCUAAGAAAGAGGUGACUGAUUUCGUGCAGUAUCCAGCGUUCGGGAGUGAAGGAGACUAUACCAAAAUCAGCCAUCUGCGUGUGAAAAAAAGCGACUGGAAUCCUCAAACCUCUUACACAUGUGAAGCUUCAAAUUCGAAAGACAAAAAAGAAGUUAUUAUACCUCGACCAGCCUCACCGCCAGAUCAGCCUGCAACUGUCUACUUAACAGUACCUACACAAAAGGAUUUAGAAACUGGAACAGCAACCUUCUUGUGUUUAGCCCAGCAGUUUUCACCUAAAACAUAUUCGUUUAAGUGGUUUAAGGAUGAAACGCAGUUGACAAAGUUGACACAUUCGAUAAACACCUAUGACGCAAGUGAGAAGAAUGGCUCAGUAACCUUAUAUAGCGCCACAAGCAUUUUGCAAAUCAGUGCCGGAGAAUGGAAGACAGCCGCCAAAAUCAAGUGCGAGUUCGAGCACAAGACGGGAAAAGAAGUCAGAGAGGCCGAAUAUACAGAUAAUUUAUCCUUAGUAGAUAAAUUAACACUGACACUGAAGCCACCAAUUGAAAAAGAACUAUUUCUCAAUAAUAAAGUUGUCUUGCAAGCUGUUGUUUCUGGAGAUGCAAAAAAAGUGACAGAAGCUUCAGUGUCAUGCACAGUGAAUAAUGACCGGGUGGAUCCUAGAAGUUUCAACGUUUCUCAGGACAAUUCACAGAAUAUUAAAAUCCACAAAUUCAUAGUUGAUACAAAUAAAUGGUUUGAUGGUGAAACUGUCACCUGCACCAUCAACGACGGACACAUCAAGCAGGAAAUCCAUUGUAAUAAAGGAGAUGAAAAGACACCCAAUGUUACCAUUUACAGACCUGAUAGUAACAACGACACAAAUCAUGUCUCUCUGGUGUGUGAGGUCACAAGCCCUAAACUUGGCGAUGUCUAUAUCAUGUGGAAAGUGAGAGAAAAGCCUUACGAAGAGGCCAUAACCAGUCUUCCUAUUCAUCAAAAGAGCUCCACAUCGGUUGUCAGCAUCCUAACAGUGUCAAAACAAGAGUAUGAGGACCCCGGAACCACCAUCACCUGCGCAGUUAAACAUGCCAAGAAGGGGAAUUUAAGCGCUCCAUUACAAGUUUCAACAAGCCAAAGGGAUCCACCUGAGCCAGAGAAGGGUUUUGCUCUGAACUGUAAUAAUGAUGUUCUGGAGGAGGAUGAGUUCAGAAGUCUCUGGUCCACUGCCACUUCAUUCAUCUUCCUCUUCCUCUUUUCUCUGACCUACAGCGCUGUACUCAGCCUCUUCAAUAUGAAGCAGUGAUGGUUUUUUUCAAAAGAACUUCCGAAGACUCCAAGGUUUCUUGUUAUGUUGAAUCUACAUAAUUUGCCUCUAUAUGCACACAUUUUUGAAGAUAUUGACAAAUAUAUACUCAAUGUUCACACUCAUCAAUAAAGUCUUAUUAUGUCUA